rnacentral:rRNA from 1 species
CCUACGGGAGGCAGCAGUGGGGAAUAUUGGACAAUGGGGGGAACCCUGAUCCAGCGACGCCGCGUGAGUGAAGAAGUAUUUCGGUAUGUACAGCUCUAUCAGCAGGGAAGACAGAAAUGACGGUACCUGACUAAGAAGCCCCGGCUAACUACGUGCCAGCAGCCGCGGGAAUACGUCGGGGGCAAGCGUUAUCCGGAUUUACUGGGUGUAAAGGGAGCGUAGACGGCGAUGCAAGUCUGAAGUGAAAGGCGGGGGCCCAACCUCCGGACUGCUUUGGAAACUGUAUGGCUGGAGUGCAGGAGAGGUAAGUGGAAUUCCUAGUGUAGCGGUGAAAUGCGUAGAUAUUAGGAGGAACACCAGUGGCGAAGGCGGCUUACUGGACUGUAACUGACGUUGAGGCUCGAAAGCGUGGGGAGCAAACAGGAUUAGAUACCCGUGUAGUC